CCGAGCAGGAAGAGCACAAAGCCAAAGCCCCAUUGGUAGGGCGCCUUGCCGAGUGUGUAAUCUGCUCCCUGAUUGGUUGGCUGCUGUGCUGCGGGUUGCUGUUCCCGGGGUCCUUCGCUGGCGGUAUCGGUAGUAGGGCGAGCUUCAUAUGGUGUUGGGCUCAUGUAACCCCCCUCCCCGGGGCCGGGUGAGCUGAGCCCAGGUUUUUACAACCCAGGGCUCCCCGUGAGGAGAGCGGCGGCCCCGAAAGAAGGGAGAUAGCUUCAGUGAUGUAGGGGGAGUCAGAGGUGCAAAGACUGUCAAAGCAAAGCGAACAGCCAGAGAGGCUUUCCCUCUUCAAACUGCAGCCAGUCGCCAGGGCCACAGGGUUAAGGGUGCUUUGUGCUUCUAAAUUGAAGAAUGCCAUUUCCGUAGUCUUUUGCCAGUCUGGAGUGACUCUGAAGAUGUUUGCAGAGGAAUCAUCCAGGAACCCUCGCCGGGGAAAAAUAUGGCAGAAAUGGACCUGAGCAGCCUCGACAUCCUUAUAAGGAGACAUGAAUAGUCCUCAGCUUUCUGCCUCCCGCUUAAAUGGCUGUGAUACCAAGGAAAAAGACAUCACGUGUGAGUCUAUAGCCCUCGUGAUGGAAAAUGAGUGAGAGUGACGAGACUGCGAGCGUUGUUGGUGCCAGGCAGCAGCCGUCCAUCUGGGAGCAGAACAGCCGCUACUAUCACUGAGAUAAGUAUCUCUUUUGCUGAGAGUUCUGCUCCUCCAGGUAGGGACACCUUGUUAGCUGGGGCUGGGUUUGUAAGAAAAGGUUCCUGAGUAGAUGUGGUUAUGAGGGAGACAAGGUCCCCAUUUUCAGGGGCUGGUCAGUUCUCUGGCCGGUAGCAGUGUGUCCUCUGCAGCGGAAGGUUAGAUCCGUGAGAAUGACUGCAGGUGGAAAGUUGCUUGCCAUCCUCCCAUGUUUCUCUCUUUCUUCUCUACUGUGUUGGCCAACAUUCUCCCUCUCUGUCUGUCUGUCCUUGCCUCUCCUUGUGCUGUCUUCCUUUGUAGCACACAGGCAGGCGUGCUCGGAGCGCAUACCCACGGCCUAUGUAUCAGGAGCCAUGAAAAAGUAGAAAGGGAUGAAAAUAAUGCAGAUUAAUGGGCACGAAAGCGGAGCGGUGACUGUCGGUGUUAACUCGGUCUCUGUUCAUCGAGUGGGGCUGAUGUAGAUGGGAGGGAAGAGGGAGGCGGGGAUGAGGGCAAGAUUUCAAGCACCAAUAGAGAUGUCUGUAGUGAUGGCUCAUGCAUGGCUUUUGCAGGUGCUCUUGCAGAGGAAUUGUCCAGAAGCCCUCGCCGGAGGAGAAGCUGGCAGAGGUGGACCUGCUCAGCCUGAACAUCCUUCUAAGCAGACAUGAACAGUCCUCAGCUUUCUGCCUCCUGCUUUACUGGCUGUGAGUAAGAGUGCCAAGAGAAAUGAAGUCACACGUCAGAUUCUAUUGCCCUCAUGCGAUGGAAAGUGAGUGAGAGCAGCGAGCCUGUGAGCAUUGUUCAUGCCAGGCAAGAGCCAUCCAUCUGGGAGCCAAGCCGAUGCCACCGACACUGAGAUAAGUUUCUGUUUUGUUGAGGGUUCUGCUCAUGCUCCAUCUGACUCCAGGUAGAGACACACCGUCAGCGGGGGCUGGGUUUGUAAGAAAAGGUUCCUGACUAGCUGUGGUUUUGAGGGAGACAAGGUUUGCAUUUUCAGGGGCUGCUCAUGUCUUUAGCCAGGACUGGUGUGUCCUCCUCAGCAUAGUAGAUCCAGGAGGAUGACUCCAGUUGGUGAGUUUCUUGAUUCCAUCCCACCAUUUUAUCUAUCUCUCCUGUAAAGUGUUGGCCAACACUCUCUCUCUCUCUGUCCUUGCCUCGCCUUGUGCUGUCUCCCUUCGUAGGACAUGGGCAGGUGUGGUAGGUAUGCAUCCCCACAGGCCAGGUCUUGUGAGCUGUGAAGAAAUAGGGGACCGAAAUAUUACUGGGCAGUGGGCACUACAGUGCAGGGGUGACUGUGGGUAUUGAUUGAAUCUCUGCCCUUGUGGGGCUGAUGUAGAUGGAAUGAGAGAGGGAGGUGGGAAUGAGGGCAAGAUUAAACGCUCCGAUAGAUCUCUGUGUAGUGACGGUACUUGCUUGCCUUUAUUAGUUUGCAGAACAAUCAUCCAGGAGCCCUCGCCGGAUGAGAAUAUGCAGAACUGGACCUUAGCAGCCUGGACAUCCUUCUAAAGAGACAUGAAUAGUCCUUAGAUUUCUUCCUUCUGCAUAACUGGCUGUGAGUAAGAGCUACUCGUGCAGAGGGAUUGUCCAAGAGCCCUAGCUGGAAGAGGAAGAGGCAGACGUGGACCUGAGCAGCUUGGACAUUGUUUUAAGGAAACCUGAACAGUCCUCAGCUUCCUGCCCCAGCUUAACUGGCUGUGAGUAAGAGUACCAAGGGAAAAUAAGUCAUGCGCCAGAAUCUACUGCCCUCAUGCGACGGAAAGCAAUGAGACUGCGAGUAUUGUCAAUGCCACGCAAAAGCUGUCCAACUGGGAGCGGAACAGCUGCCACUUUCAAUGAGAUAAGUGUCUGUUUUGGUGAUUGCUCUGCUCCCGGCCCUCCCUGCUCCUGGUAGAGACGCCACAUUAGCUGGGGCUGGGUUUGUAAGAAAAUGUUCUUGACUAGUUGUAGUUGUGAAGGACAACUAGUUGUAGUUGUGAAGCCCUCAUUUUCAGGGGCUGCUCAGUUCUCUGGCCAUGAGCGGCGAGUCCUCUGCAGCAGAAGGUUGGAUCCAGGAGGAUGACUGCAGGUGGUGAGUUGCUUGCCUUCCACCCGUGUUUUUCUCUCUGUGUCUUUCUGUUCUCUAGCAUGUUGGCCAACACACACCCUCUCUCUAUCUGUCUGUCUGUCUCUCUCACCUUUCCUUGUGCCAUCUCCCUUCAUAGGACACGGACAGGGUGCUCAAUGUGCAUCCCCACAGGCUAGGUCUUGGGAGCCAUGGAGAAGGAAGAGCAGAGAAAAAUCAUGAGGGGCAGUGGGUGCUGAAGUGGAACAGUGACUGUUUACUCAUCUCUGUUCAUUGAGUUGGGCUCAGGUGGAUGGCAUGGGAGAGGAAGGGAGGAAUGAGGGCAAGAUUUCAUGCACGAAUAGAACUUGUUGUACUGAUGGCUCAUGCAUGGGUUUUGCAGGUGCACUUGCAGAGGAAGUGUCCAGGAGCCCCAGGCUGAGGAGAAGUUGGCAGAAGUGGAUCUGAUCAGCCUGAGCAUCCUUCUAAGCAGACAUGAACAGUCCUCUCCUUUCUGAAUCCCACUUAACUUGCUGUGGUACCAGAGGAAAAGAAAUCUUGCAUGAGAGUCUACUGCCGUCAUGCAAUGGAAAUCGAGCGAGAGCGAUGGGACUGCAGGAAAUUAUUGCUGCCAUGAAAAAGCCGUUCAACUGGGAGUGGAACAACCACCACUCUCAAUGAGAUAAGUGUCUGCUUUGAUGAUUGCUCUGUUUUUGAGUAGCUGUAGUUAUGAGGGAGACAAGGUCCCCAUUUUCAGGGACUGCUCAGUUCUCUGGCCAGUAGCAGUGUGUCCUCUGCAGCAGAAGGUUGGAUCCAGGAGGAUGACUGCAGGUGAUGAGUUGCUUGCCUUCCACCCAUGUUUUUCACUCUGUCUCUCUCUGUUCUUUAGUAAGUUGGCCAACACACACCCUAUCUCUAUCCUUACCUUUCCUUCUGCCAUCUCCCUUCUUAGGACACAAGCAGGAGUUCUAGGUGUGCAUCCCCACAGGUUAGGUCUUGGGAGCCCUGGAGGAGUAGAAGGGGACGAAAACCAUGUCAGGCAGUGGGUGCUAAAGUGGAGCAGUGACUGUUGGUGUUAACUCGUUCUCUGUUCGAGUGGCGCCAAUGUAGAUGGGAUGGAAGAGGGAGGCAGGAUUGAGGGCAAGAUUUCACACACCAGUAGAGCUUUGUGUCAUGAUGGCUCAUGCUUGGCUUUUGCAGCUGUUCCUGCAGAGGAAUUGUCCAGGAGCCCCAGCCAGAGGAGAGACUGGCAGAAAUGGAUCUGAGCAGCUUGGACAUCCUUCUAAGUAGACAUGAACAAUCCUCAGCUUUCUGAAUUCUGAAUAACUGGCUGUGAGUCAGAGUACCAAGGAAAAAGAAGACACACGUCAAUCUACUGCUCUCAUGCAAUGGACAGUGAUGAAGAGUGAUGGGACCUUGAGAAUUAUUUGAUGGCAUGAAAAAGCCAUCCAUCUGGGAGUGGAACAGAUGCCACUGUCUCUGAGAUAAGUGUUUGUUUUGCUGAGGGUUCUUCUCAAGGCCCACCUGGCUCCAGAUAGGGACGCCCCGUUAGCUGGGCCUGGGUUUGUGUUUAAAAAAAAAAAAAAGGUUCCUGAACAGCAGUAGUUACAAGGGAGACAAGGUCCCCAUUCUCGGGGCUGGUCAUUUCUCUAUUCACAAGCAGUGUGUCCUCCGCAGCAGAAGGUUGGAUCCAGGGAGAGAUGGCUCCAGCUGGUGAGUUUCUUGCUUUCCUCCCAUGUUUCUCUUGCUGUCUGUCUCUUCUCUAGUGUGUUGGCCAACGCUCUCUCUUUCUCUCUCUGUCUCUGUCCUUGCUUUCCUUGUGCCUUCUCCCUUCAUAGGACACAGGCAGCUGCGCUAUGGGUGCAUCCCUACAGGCUAGGUCUCAAAAGCUAUGAACAAGUAGGAGAGGAUGAAAAUCAUGCAGGAUAGUGGGUGCGAGAGUGGAGGCAGGUACUGGAAGAUGUUGUGAACCUAGACUGUUUUUGUCUGUGAUGGCUCUUCCAUAGGUGGUUAGCUGUUCUUGCAGAGGGCUGCUCCAGGCCAGCAGAGCAGCCCCAAACAGAGUAGGAGCAUCUGGAGGAAGCAAACGUACCCAAUCUAGCUGUUUUGCUUUGCAGUGGAGCCGAGGAGCGAUCUUGUAAUGUUUUUGUGAAAUGAUAUUUCUCUAUCCAGUAUCUGCAGAGUGAGAUGACUCGUGGAGAGCAGAGAGAUGCUUCUCCUAUCCCUGGAAUGGGUCCUGGGGAAGGUCCAGCUCUGCCUGUGGCUGGUAGUGGUCUGGGAUUGUCCCUUUCCUGGAGUGCUGUAGCUUCUUAGGAGUGAUGAGCAUUUUAGGCCCUGGGUGGGCUGGAGAGGAAUAGAGAAGGGAGCCCCAAUGAGCAGCAGCCAGUGAUGUGUGUGUGUCCAUUUUUCUUCCAUGCCCCAGUGCUGGCCUAGCUUACAAGUGUUCUCUCUUUCUCUUUUCAGUUCCUACUGAGAUUGGUCUCUGCCACAGGUUGGCCAGUCUCUCAUCUGACCAAAAAAGUAGUGGCCACCCUGAGCCCAUCCCUAGGGAUGGAAGCCGGACAGUAAUCUGCAGAGUAAGAGCAAAUGGAAAUUUUCUGAAGUUCAGUAUUGAGGGAGGGCUGCAAACACUCAUCUCAGUGGAGAGAAUUUGUAAAUAUGGGGAAGGCCCCUGAGGAAAGGCCUCUGCAUCUCAUGGGGACACAAUAAGUUUAGGGGAAUCCUUUGUGCCCUGUCAAGGGGUUGUCAGGUGCUAUGGAGUCUUCCUGAAAUGCAGUAACCCUUUGUGGAGAGCCAGGAAGGUGACUACAUGUGCUGAGUUUACCUCCUUCCUGUGUGUGUAUCUCUGCUCUCAUAUGUUGGCCAACAUGCUCUGUGUGUGUCUGCCUCUCCUUGUACUGUCUCCUUGCAUAGAACUUGGGCAAUGGUUCAUGCUUUCUGGCUUGGUCUGGAGAGUCUGUAUCCCACUGGAGCAUUGGGAGGAGGAAGAGAAGCAUGAUGGGUAUUAGAUCCUCCAUUGGUAGUGGUAUGGGGUGACUGUGGGAGUUGACUCUGACUCUGUUCAUCAAGUGGGGCUAAUGUACAGUGGAUGGGAGAGGGAGGGCGGCAUCUCAGACACCAAUAGAACUUGGGGCAGUGAUGGCUCCUGCUUGGGUUACAUGUCUUUGCAGAGGGAUCGUCCAGGAGCUGCAGCCAGAGGAGAAACUGGAAGAAAUGAACCUGAGCAGCCUGGACAUCCUUGUAAACAGAGAUGAACAGUCCUCAGCUUUCUGCCUUCCACAUAACUGGCUGUGAGUUUGGUAUUUCUGACCAGAGUCUGCUAUGCAGAGUGAGUAUUUAAGGUGUCAUUGCAAGAGGCGUUUUCUACUUUUAGUCCUAAAGAUGUACUGGAAAGAUGGUUGAGGGCGGAGGCCUACCGUGUCGGGGAGGUGAAAAGAAAAGCCUACAAGACAUUGCCUCCUGAGAGGGUAGGGUAUUUCUUUUUCCCCUUGUGGUGGGUUUAGUUGCAAAGGAAAAGAAGUCACGCAUCAGAGUCCACUGUCCUCGUGCGAUGGAAGGGGAGCAAGAGUGCUGAGACCAUGAGGAUUGUAGAUGGACGGCUUUUGCGCGGCAUCAGAGAGUGGAACAGCCGUCACUGUCAGUGAGAUAAGUGUCUGGUUUGGUGGUUCCUCUGCUCACGGACCACCUCGCUCCUGGUAGGG